UGCUGUAGCCCAGCAAGUAAAGCUUCAGACUCAUAAUCAAAGGGACACAGGUUUAAUACCUGUCAGGGCAA